rnacentral:tRNA from 3 species
GCCCCUGUAGUUUAAUGGAUAUGACGUAAGAUUCCGGUUCUUGAGAUGGGGGUUCGAUUCCCUCCAGGGGCG